rnacentral:rRNA from 1 species
CAACUCGCCUGCAUGAAGUCGGAAUUGCUAGUAAUCGCAGAUCAGCAUGCUGUGGUGAAUACGUUCCCGGGCCUUGUACACACCGCCCGUCACACCAUGGGAGUCGGUAACACCCAAAGUUGGUAGUNUAACCGCAAGGAGGACGCCGCCUAAGGUGGGAUUGAUGACUGGGGUGAAGUCGUAACAAGGUAAC